rnacentral:rRNA from 1 species
UACGUAGGGUCCAAGCGUUGUCCGGAGUUACUGGGCGUAAAGCGCGCGCAGGCGGUGGCGUGUGCCCGGCGUGAAAGCCCCCGGCUCAACCGGGGAGGGUCGUCGGAGACUGCGUCACUUGAGGUCGGCAGGGGCCGGUGGAAUGCCCGGUGUAGUGGUGAAAUGCGUAGAGAUCGGGCGGAACACCCGUGGCGAAGGCGGCCGGCUGGGCCGUACCUGACGCUGAGGCGCGAAGGCGUGGGGAGCGAACGGG